rnacentral:rRNA from 1 species
GUGGGGAAUAUUGCACAAUGGGGGAAACCCUGAUGCAGCGAUGCCGCGUGAAGGAAGAAGGACUUCGGUUCGUAAACUUCUAUCAGCAAGGAAGAGGACACUUCAAGGGAAGUGAGACAGUACUUGAGUAAGCAGCCCCGGCUAACUACGUGCCAGCAGCCGCGGUAAUACGUAGGGGGCGAGCGUUAUCCGGAAUUACUGGGUGUAAAGGGUGCGUAGGCGGCAACGUAAGUCUGUUGUGAAAGGUGAUGGCUUAACCAGCGAAGUGCAAUGGAAACUGCGGAGCUAGAGUGCAGGAGAGGAAAGCGGAAUUCCUAGUGUAGCGGUGAAAUGCGUAGAUAUUAGGAAGAACACCAGUGGCGAAGGCGGCUUUCUGGACUGCAACUGACGCUGAGGCACGAAAGCGUGGGGAGCAAACAGGA